rnacentral:lncRNA from 1 species
CUUGAUGGUCGGAAUCUAACAAUACCGAUUAAUUCCAUCAUUAGUCCAAAUUAUGAAGAAGUUAUCAAAGGAGAAGGUAUGCCCAUUCCCAAGGAACCUAGCAAAAAAGGGAACUUGCGAGUGAAGUUUAACAUCAAGAGACCUUGUCUUCAUAAUCGAUGAGAAGCCGCAUAGUGUCUUCAAGAGAGAUGGCAAUGAUCUCGUUGUCACCCAGAAGAUCUCUCUGGUAGAGGCUCUUACUGGAUAUACUGCUCAAAUAACAACGCUUGAUGGUCGGAAUCUAACAAUACCGAUUAAUUCCAUCAUUAGUCCAAAUUAUGAAGAAGUUAUCAAAGGAGAAGGUAUGCCCAUUCCCAAGGAACCUAGCAAAAAAGGGAACUUGCGAGUGAAGUUUAACAUCAAGUUCCCCAGCAAGCUUACUUCUGAGCAGAAAGCUGGCAUUAAGCGAUAUUUAACAUGAUUAUUGAACAUUAGCACCUAGAGUUUUAUUUAUCAAAUUCUACUACAUAAGCUUGUCCUCUGUCUUUGCUUUUGUUGGCCAUGCAAAGAAAUGUACACACUAUUCGUUUGUGGAUUUCUUCUGAAACCUUCAGUCCG